UAUGUCCUGUAAAAAUGCUGUGUGGAAGGCAUCCCUUCCCAGCAGAUGGCAGCAAAAUGGAGAAGGUCGUUGUAAAGUGAGACAGCAGCGGACAAAAGAUUUGAGAUCUCCAACAGCCUUAGUUUCACUUGCCUGCUUUUGAAUCCAAGAGUUAAAGCAGUAGACUGACAUUACUCCAGUGUUCAUAGAUAAGUUUCCUGUCCAGCAAUUACACAAAAGAUUGGACUUCUUAUCUAGUAACAGAAUGAUGAGUUUCCAACUCUUUAGAUGUGGUAUGGGACUUAACCUCAUUCAUUCCAUGUGCAGAAGGAAAUUUUCUUUGGAAAAUUGCCCAACCCAAUGGACUUCCUUCUGAUGUCAAUAUAAACCUAAUUCUGACCUCCUUCAAUACAGUGGUCCAAACUGGACUUUCUUCUGUCCAAAGUACAUCAGUGGCAGCCGCCUGUCACAUCUUUUACCUACUGAAAUAAUGCCCAUCCCUUUCCCACAAUAAGACCAGAACGUGUCUUUUGACAUGCAUAGAUGUUAAUCAUUGAGAAAUCUCUAUAUAAUCACGGACAAGGUGUUCACAUCAGAUAUGGAAAGGAGAAAAAGUACCUGAAACCAAGAGCUUGAUCUUCAGAUUAGGUAUUUGUUCAGAAAAGGCCACCUGUCUUGCCUUUAAUAACUUGCAAAAUAACAUGCAUGAACAUAGUAAUGGUAGCAUCAACACAGGGGCAAUCAAUUGUACAGGGACAAUGCUCAGAGGCUAGUUUGUUAAAUAAUAAAUACAGAAUUGACUUUAAAAAUAUGGAAUAAAACAAGCAAUGAGCA